UUUUAACAUGUUUAGGGAACCCCCUAAUUUGGGUCGUGCUUAAAAUUUGUUAAAAAGGUUUUGUAAGGGGUUAUAAUAUUAUCCAUGUAUAAGAAACUCCCAUAUUUUUUAACCUAAUUUUUGACAAAAAUGGGUUCCUUAUACACGUUAAAAUACGGUCAUUUUAAAAUCAUACACAAUCAUGACCACUGCUCCCGUCUUUUUUUAUAUCUGGGAGUACAUUGUGGACUGCAACGACAGCAAGCUGUUAUUUAAGGGAAUUUGACAGCUAUUUCUAGCAGUUUAAUUUACUAUGCAGAAGCUAUCUCGUUGUCUCAAGGUAAAUUGUACA